CUCUUCCGUCCUGGGUUUCAUAUUAAAUGACUUUUUAUUACUUAUGUCUAUACGUUUUUUAAGCAUAGAUAUAUCUAUAUUUGAACAAAUUUGAGUCACUUGAUAUGGAACAAAGUACACUGUUUAGCAGCACAUCUGAACAAAAUCCAGAGUCACCGUCGCAUUCACCCAUUCUAGAGUGCGGAAAUAAGACGUUUUUUUUCUCUCUAGGAAAAUGCAAAUUACUAGACAAAGAAUUCUGGUGCACCUUCCUAUUCCUCUAUAGUUCGUCAAUAAGAUCCCUCUUAAAAACAAAUUCUCUGGUAUUUAUUCAUUAAAAUCCCUCUAUAGUUUGUCAAUCAAUUCCAGCUGCCAAUCUAGACAAAAAAUUAUUUGAAAGCUUAAGCUUCCUCUUAAAAAAAAAUUGUGUGCUACCUUUGUCGUGGUGUGGUGCUCAUGGAAGAUAAUCUGGUUAAGAUGAAUUGAGGUGGGUGCAAGAAAUGUGAUCUUUGCGAUCAAGAUGAGACUACUUAGCAUUUGUUGUUUUCGUUGUCAAAUUAAAUGUUUGGUUCUGAGAACCGUCUUUGUGACAUUUAAUCUACCUCUUCCCUGUUGUGUCACUAAUAUGUUUGGCUUGGAGAAACACUUCUUGGUGUGGUGGUUUAGUUGUGGGUGCAUGACUAUACUCAUAGGGUUCAAAUCCCGGUGCUCAUAAUUAUGUUGUAGGGGUUUCCCUUAUAGUCUUUCUAUCAGAAAACUAAUAUGUUUGGCCGGUGGCUUGGGGUGUGGGUAAGUUGCUUAAAUUGUUUAUCCUUGUAGGAGCUUGUGAGAUUUGCCGGUAUAUCAGGAAUUGUAUGAAUGAUCUUGUUUUCCGUAUCAGGAAACGGUCUAAUUUGAUGCCUCUUGGGGCGUCGGAUGGCUCUGUUCUUGGUCCCUACUACUUGGACGGAGUCGUAGGGCGAGGUUGAUGGAAUUUUGAUGCAACCGUUUGAAAAUGAUAGCACGGGAGUUUUUCAGCCGGUUUGGAUGGCGUGGCGGCCUUAGGCUGCAAGGAGAUCCAUUUUUUCCUUUCAUUCCUUUAUUUGAUUUUUCAUUUGUAAACCUUGAGGCUGAGGGAUACACUCAUUUUCGAAAAAUAUAUACAGCAAAACCGUUAUAUAUUUUCCAUCUAUCUUCUCCUCUAAGUUGUGCCACGGAAUUAGGGCCUGUUUGGAUGCCACCCUGAGCAUCGUGGCUGACAAAAAAUGCUGCCAUAAGGUAACCUGAAAUCUGAACAACUUUUGCUUGGUAAGGCAGCAAAGCAAUAUCUUGUUUGGUUGGAUUCACGUGCCUGAGAAAUGAAUUAGCGUGUGGCAUAGAUAUAAGUGAUAAAUGACGUGAGGUCCAUACGAAUACAUAUGCUAGAGUAACCUUUUUGCUAACCCUAGCUGCGUGAAGCCAGGCCUCCAAAAUCGAUAGCUUGAGCCAGGCUAAUCAUGUUGCUCGGGUCAGCCAUGCAGGGAAACAGUCAAAACGUCAACCAGGAAGUGUUCAGGCCAGGUCAAGUGUGUCGGGACUAAGAACCCCAACCAAACAUGACUAGUACUCGCUUCGUCUCAUAUUAAAUAAAUCUAACUAAAAAACGUAUGGAUACAUGUAAUAAAAAGUCGUGAUACAUUUUAUUAUUUGGAUGUUUCUGCGCGUCAUAUCCUUUUUGGCGGAUGCUCGUUUGGUGCCAUGAUAUAUAGGUUAGUACACACACUUUGCGUGUCAGCUUACCAUCCCGAUCUGAUAAUCUUUGCAGAUCGGUUGAGUUUGUUUAAUGGACACUUUAAGAAAAAACGGCCGUUGGAUGAAUUUACAUUUUUCUUUCAAUGAGUAUACCUUUUUUCCAUCUGCAAUACGAUCACUCCGCAUUCCACGUGCUUGAAAGCAAUGGUCUAUCGGGAUGUGCAGUACUGCAGCGGCAACAGCAUUGUACAGGGACUGGUGCUGGUUGGUUUGGUUUCUCUAGCGUAAGCACGGAGUGGCCCACCGGCCAGCUGCCGCAGCAGAACCAGGCCACAUGAUCUCUGACAAAAAGUGACAAGCCCCGGCCCAGUAACCUCAUCCAAGUGGCUCGUUGAUCCAUUGAUUGGACCGUCAGAUUGCCUUUUAAUUCAAUGCGGCAGAGAGCCAUGUCACACAGGUCGCUCCAAUAAACCGGAGAGAAAUGAAAUUGGCAGCAGACCAAGGAUAAGAGGUGGGUCCUGUUGAGAGAAAAAAAAAAGGAUAAGAGGUAGGUGGUGCGGGGCCAGGGCGUCAGAUCGAGUCGCCUGUCCGUUCCGUUAGAUGGGGGGGCCGGUCUACGGCUGGCUCACGUGCGGCGGGUUGGCUCUGGCGUGUGGACACGGCCUAGCGUGUCUCGCGUGGUUGCCGGCCCGUCGCGGCCAACCACCAGCUCCUACGGCUGGCCCUGCCGUCCGUCCGUCCACCGGCUGCAGCCAGUGCCAGCGUGCCCCCCCACCGCGCCGCGUGCACCUCGUGCCGUCCUGUGUGCUCCAGCACGUACGGUCCCAUAUAGCGUGUACGGUGUACAAUUCCUUCUCUCUCGCACGUCCAUCUGGAGAUCGCCCCGUCCGUUCGUACCCCUACGCUACGUACCGAUCAACUUACUAUAAAAAAUUUCCCCACCUUUCCCGCCGGACAACGAUUAACCCUUUUACUCAGUAGAGUACUAAUCUUCUUUUUAGGGACUCAGUAGAGUAAUCUGCUUUCUAGGGGUUCCAGAGUAAUCUCAAUCCCAGGCGUACCGCGCCAAAAAGAUGGAGAUUCGAGGGGUAAUCCGGACGGAUUUCGCUUGGACGCUAGCCGGAGCUCGUGGCAUUUCUUUUUCUUCAUUCCGGGGUACUGUAUCUCUUUUCCUCUCCGGCCGGUCCGUAGUUUGUUGCCUGCGGCGGCGGGAUUAGUGCAUGGUGCAUCCGUGAGCUCAGCUCUUUCGCCUUCUAGUGUACUCCGUAGCGAUUUGUGUCUGGACCGCCCGUUAAGAUUUGUUAAAUGAUCCAGCGCAAAAAAAAAAGAUUUGUUAAAUGCGAAGCAUGCCGGACUAGGCCAUUUGGGGGGGUCGCAGCUGCUCGAUCCGUCCCCAGACGGGUGACAAUUGUGCCAUGGACGAUCGCGAUUACACAUUUACACGUCGGUAUCGGCCGCUCGAUGAGAUCGAGGCUUCGAAAAUAAUAACCACUCCCUGGGAUAUGAGAAAUGUUAAUGUAUUAUGCCGCCAUUCUUGGGAGUGGUCCAAUAACUGUAACGGCGCUGGGACGAAAGAGAUGUCUUCUUGUCACUGCCAUUUCCACGCCAUUUGGGGCAAAAUGCCAAUACUGAGUUCUAGAGGUAUGCAAACAGCCAUGGAUUGUGAUUCAAAAGUUGAUUCUCUUAGCGGUAGCAUCUUUUUCUAUGAUCGGACUCCCCCGAGUCCCCGCAAGGAAGCAUACCUGCAAUCCGAAAAGCUUACUUUUAAUCGACUCUUAUACUUCCUCCGUCUCAAAUUAGGUUCUCAAAUUAAGUGACGUGAAUUUGUAUAAGAGUCUAGGAUACAAAAGCUUUGUGAAGAGUCUAACUCUUAAGGAAAGAAUCGGCUAAGAGUCAACUAAAAGUCGACCAAUUUACCAUUGUACAACAUUGCUAACAAAUCAUUUACUGUAAGCCUAAAGACACAACCUAUUAAUAUUUAUAAUUUUGUCCUCGAAUCUACAUGACAUGGAGAGUUAAUGUCAACUCUUUUAUUGCGGACAACCUAUUAAUAUGUGUUAUUUUGUCGUUGACUCUAGAUAACACAGAGAGUUAAUGCCGACUCCUACCUGUCUCUUAUUUGAAAUUUGCUUGUAUGGAGGAAAGAGAAAGAGAAGAUAGGAGAGAACUGAAUCUUCGUGAAAAGUCAGACUCUUAAGGAGAAAUCGACUAAAAGUCAGCUAAGAGUCGAGUUAUUUACCAUUGUACAAUGUCGCUUUAAUGCUAACAAAUCAUUUAUAGUAAAUCUAAAAACAUAUCAUAUUACAGGUGUUAUUUUAUCGUCGACUCUACAUGAUACGGAGAGUCAAUGCCGACUCUACUAUUGCAGGGACAAAAGGAUGUUUCGGCAAUUGAUGCUAAACAAAAUACCAUAAAUCAAGGAAAGAAACCACAUGUUAACAAUUUUAUAGAUAAAUAAUGUAAUACAUUAUACACCGUGCGCAAGGUAAUUUUUGAAUAGGCGUGUCUGAUGUGACAUUAAUAUGACUAAUCUAUCUGAUCUUAUUGUGUUUUUUUGUUAUUUCUUGGGUGACUGAGAAAUUGAUUCAUGCAGCUGCAAUGGGAUAAGAUGAUAUCUAUGUGAUGACCAUAAUUGAUGACUGAUAAACAGUUAUUUUAACUCUACUAUAAAUAGUCACUCCGAACUUUUAUUGUCAGGGAGCUAAAAAGAAUCUCUUCAAACUUAUGGCGACACCACCAGUAUGUUUGCUUCGUGAGAAAAGAAGCCCCUCCUCUGCUUCGGUUGUUUUUGAAAUGUUCUGGCUUUACUUUUUAAGUAAAGAACGAUCUGCCAUGGACGUAAUACUCGGUAGCCACCAGACUUUUAGACAAGUAUUUUAGCGGUACGGUGGUAUACCCAGCCUGAACUUCUGUAGUUUUCUAUGAAAGCUUAGCCGCAAAGCCUUUACUCGAAAAGAACAAGGUAUCCGAAUAAAUAUUUAUUUCUCGUUUGCUCCCAGGCAUCUUGUAUUAGCACUACGACGCUAUUCUUGAAGUUUAGAAGUUUUAAACAUGUAAAUUACGCAUCACUCGUGACGAAUUGACGACGUACGGUACUAUGACACUUGACAACAGAUAUGCAGAUCAUUUUCUUUGGCCAUGGGUCUCUCUAUUUUGUCCAAGAAUCUACUCGAUUUGAUUUAAUACUAGCUUGCCAGCAUCCCACGCACGCGUAGUGCUACUUUAUUCAUCCUGAUGGUCUUCGCACCGAAAUUAUGCACACGAACAUACUUUGGGCGAAAUGGCCUCUAUGUAUGAAAUUCCGAUCUGUCAUGUUGUCCUGUGGAAUGCGAGUAUCUACACUGCCUACGAUGGAAACAGCUGUGAGGAGUUUAUGCGAUUGUAUUGGUGGGAUUGUUAUUGGUUUCUCCGAAAGCCUCCUGUGGAAUGUUGUUACUCCUACCAUUUGUUGUUGCGCGGGUGAUUCCUUUUACCGCAAAGUAAAAUAUGAUUUCCUUUCCGAAAAGGCAAAGUCAACUUUUCUUUUCAACCUGCAUGUCCCCUCGAUUUCACUGUCACGAUUACGCGAGCUACACGGAGGUGUUGAUACGUUGAACUCGGCCGGGCAAACUCAAAUCCUAUUUUGUCACCUGCGCGGCGAGAUGACGAUUCCCGGGGAGCCGAAACUUGCCGGCACUCCAGGUCAAUGCAUUGUAUUCUCCCAUGACCAUGACACAAAAAGCCUGAUUACAGUUAACCACGGUAUACUCAGAUUCUAUAAUUCGGAUGCUGCGUGCCAGACCUGAUACAUCUAUGCUGGUUUCCUGAAAUCGCUCCUGCUCUUUAAAGAAAAGAAAAAAAGAACACCAAAAUUGGUUUACGCAUAGGUGGUUGUUCCACAAUUAAGCCAUCGAGACCAUGGGGCGGCGACUUUGAGUGCCAAAAAUUGCUCCGCUUUAGACGCGCGAUCAAAGACGUGACUAACGUGCCUCGCCUCACGCGGCGAUGGAACGACAGGGCGAUGAUUAAGGCAGGGCAGGCAUUGCCAAUACGGAGCCAAGCAAAGUGCAGCCAUCUAGGAGUAGUACCGAUGAGGCUCCAUCACGGCUUUGGCUCCGGAAAUCGCCGGGCAGCCGAUCUCCGGUCGGCCACCACGCUGCUCACCUUUCCUUUCCUUGGGAUGCACCCAACAACCAUCCCCAGCACUCAACCGCGGUCACCGUUCCACGUCAGCGCCUCGUCUUCGCUCCAAUCCAGUACUGGUACUGUAGCCCACACCAACCCCACGUGCAGCUGCAGCGGGGCCCACUCCCUGACCCCUUCUCUCACCGGUAGCCAAUUCGCCUCCCCGCCAAAACCCAGAACCACCUUCCGCGUCGUCUACCCGCUGUCGCCGCCUGCGGGCCCCGGGGAAAAGACGGCCCCCACACGACAUGGACGUGGUUCACGGGUUUUUCAUCGCCCGCGUCGGCCAGGCCACCCAGCUCAGCUCACCGGCGAGGGCUAUAUAACCAUGCCCCCACGGCGAGGGCUCUUUUUUUCCCCAACUCGGCUCUCUGCAGUCCUCGAGAUUCGCGCGGCCGUGUUACUGGCUCGGCUUCCGUUGUCUAGCGUCCCAAGCUAGAUCUCUCUCCCUCCCCCUGCUCUCGCCCUCCCGGCGCUUUGGCGGCUUUAUAGAUCUGGCUGCUGGGGCGACGACGCGGAGGCCGGCCGGAGAUUCUUCGUGAGGCCAGGGGGAAGGGGAAGCCAUGGAGCUGGGGGCCGGCGGGAUGCGGCGGUCGGCGUCGCACACCUCGCUGUCCGAGUCGGACGACUUCGACCUCUCGCGCCUGCUCAACAAGCCGCGGAUCAACGUCGAGCGCCAGCGCUCCUUCGACGACCGAUCGCUCAGCGACGUCUCCUACUCCGGUGGCCACGCCAGGGGGGGCGGGGGCUUCGACGGCAUGUACUCCCCCGGCGGCGGACUCCGCUCCCUCGUCGGCACGCCGGCCUCCUCCGCGCUCCACUCCUUCGAGCCCCACCCCAUCGUCGGCGACGCCUGGGAGGCACUCCGCCGAUCCCUCGUCUUCUUCCGCGGCCAGCCCCUCGGCACCAUCGCGGCCUACGACCAUGCCUCCGAGGAAGUCCUCAACUAUGACCAGGUACCUACAGAUUGUAAUGGUUUUUAAUUUCCAUGUUUGUCAAAAAAAAAUUCCCACCACGCGCCGCCUUAUCUGAUUUGGGGGAACUCCCGGGCAGGUGUUUGUGAGGGAUUUCGUGCCCAGCGCCAUGGCGUUUCUCAUGAAUGGUGAGCCGGAGAUUGUCAAGAACUUCCUGCUCAAGACCGUGCUGCUGCAGGGGUGGGAGAAGAAGGUCGAUCGGUUUAAGCUCGGGGAAGGGGCCAUGCCCGCCAGCUUUAAAGUGCUUCAUGAUGAUAAGAAGGGCACUGAUACCCUGCAUGCUGAUUUCGGGGAGAGCGCGAUUGGGCGGGUUGCGCCGGUCGAUUCAGGAUUUUGGUGGAUCAUACUCUUGCGGGCCUACACAAAGUCCACCGGGGAUUUGACUCUGGCAGAGAAGCCUGAGUGCCAGAAGGCGAUGAGGCUCAUACUGAGCCUGUGCUUGUCUGAGGGGUUUGAUACCUUCCCGACAUUGUUGUGCGCUGAUGGUUGCUGCAUGAUAGAUCGCAGGAUGGUAAGUUAUAUACCCAGACGCUACUUUUUCAAUACGUUCAAGUCUAGUAUGAGUACAUUACGAAGUACAACUAUUUUAUCCUAACAAUCAAUGAAUUGCAACAUCUGUGGCUCAUUUCACAUACCUACUACCAUUACUUCGGGCUACAUGUCACAGAAUUAUCAACUUCUAGAAGUUUCUUUGAAUUUGUCUCAGCAUUAUGAAUUGCUGUUUGAACUUCACUGCCACAGUUUGAGAUAGCGGUACUGCAGUAGUAGUUCGGUGAAACUUAUUCGAUCAUAUAAAUAGCUGAAGGGGAAAUAAUACCGCAACAAUUUCCAUGUCAUACAAACACAAGUGCAUGUCUCUUGAGCAAGUCUUAGAGAAGUUCAAACAAGUUUCAUGUCUGUUUCGGCUCUCCGCAAAGUUCAGAGUAUUUUUAAAUUUUGUUUACUUUUGAAGAAGUGAUAGCUACAUGAUCUCUUUGCCUACUUUGAGGAGAAAAGCAGUGAUGCCCUUUCAAAAAAAAGAGGGAAAACGUAGAGAUAGUUCUGUGAAAUUUACUUCUAUAAUUACCAGUGUCUAACAUUUUAUUGAUUGGAGUGCAAAUAUUAUGGUUGGAGUCAUCUAGGUCUAAAGCUUUUGGCUUUGAGCAAGAGCGGUUGUGUUUUGCCGAUCGCUUGCUUGCUAGCUUUCAGGCACACCACUCACUCAGUUCGAUUGAUCAUUCGACAGCCUACCUACACACCAUGGUGUGUGUGUGAUAUUUAACUCAUACGUCUAGUGCUCUAACAUUGCUGCUUAAGGCACUGUUUGGCAUCGUAGUGGAUUACGAUAAUCAUGUAGACCUAACCUGCUUGUCCAUAUUUUACAGUUUGCUUAACCAACUAUUUCCCACUUACAUAGCUAUUUUUCCACAUCAGAUUAGACAAUAUGUUCAGCAACCCCAAACUGACGGCAAGUCUAAGAUUUUGGAUGCUUUAAUGAUUUGCUUGCUUUCGUCUUCUCUGUCCUGAGUCAUACCUUUGUUGUGGUUUCAAUGAUUGGAUAAAUAUGUACGGUGCCUGUUUGUUCAUUACUAUUGGGCAUGCAAAUUUCAGUGCCUGUUGUGCGGUAUGGAUUUUCAUGCCUCGUAAUAUUUUGUUUCCAUCAGAAUUCUGCUUGCCUGGGCUUUGUGAUGUUCUAUUUUUCAUACCACACUGGUGCAAUCGAUUUGUUAUUCCCGAGGUACCAGAGUGCAGUUUCCUUUGGAACUAAAGUUGAACCAGGUUUUCUGAACGGUCCAAAAGCAAAUCUAAAUAUACCCAAAUGCCAUACUUUUAAUUGGCGUGGUCCAAUUAAUUGUCCAAAUCCAAAAUCCAAAAUGUCCCAACGCUCAUUGUGUCCACUGGUCCAUGGGCAUGGACUACCCAAGUCCAUUAACACCUCCAGGUGUUACACCCAAAUCUUGUUGGGGCAUCUGCAUGUGAACAAUUUGCAUGAAAACUGAUACUCCUAUCUCUUGCAUUCUACUGAUGGCUAUACAAUAACAUUGUUUACUCUCGGUAGCCUUAUACAGGGACAUGCACGGCACUACCUUAAAUUCUGCAAAAAUGUGUCCAUUUCUUUCUUGCUUUGAUUCAGUAUGUGCAGAAUAGAAUUAUGACUAAUACAAAAAAAUCGUUUCUCUGUUAAUGAUGUCUAGUGGCCUUGUAAGCAUUUGUUGGAUGAAUAUCUUUUUUGCCCUCCUUGCCACUGACUUCUGUGUAUGCAUGUGUACUCCUCUCUCUGUGAGUUACCGAUGGAUACGUAUUUUGUAUUACCUGACUAAAAUGCCAUAUUGGUUUCUAUCAGAGGUUCUUUUGCUCAUUCUCAUCAUCCUUUUGUAGGGUGUGUAUGGUUACCCCAUCGAAAUUCAAUCCCUUUUCUUCAUGGCACUGAGGUGUGCUCUUCUCAUGCUCAAGCAUGAUGCUGAAGGGAAAGACUUCGUGGAGCGGAUUGCAACUCGUCUCCAUGCUUUAAGUUAUCACAUGCGGAGCUAUUUUUGGCUGGAUUUCCAGCAGCUAAAUGAUAUUUAUCGUUACAAGACUGAAGAAUAUUCCCACACAGCUGUCAACAAAUUCAACGUCAUUCCAGAUUCUAUUCCGGACUGGCUAUUUGAUUUUAUGCCUUGUCAGGGUGGGUUUUUUGUUGGUAAUGUCAGUCCUGCAAGGAUGGACUUCCGUUGGUUUGCACUUGGAAACAUGAUUGCCAUAGUAUCAUCUCUCGCUACACCUGAGCAAUCUAUGGCCAUAAUGGAUCUUAUUGAGGAGCGCUGGGAAGAGCUAAUUGGUGAAAUGCCUCUGAAGAUAUGCUAUCCUGCUAUCGAGAACCAUGAAUGGCGAAUUGUGACCGGAUGUGACCCGAAAAAUACGAGAUGGAGUUACCACAAUGGAGGAUCUUGGCCAGGUUAGCAAGCUUUGUAUUACUUGGAUCGCUCAAUGUGAUUAUUUCUAGUUUUAUAUGUGAAAACUAUCCUGCUUUGUUUUUUUUUGUGUUUUCUGUGACUUACAUUCUAAAUGAUAUUUAAUGAUAACCAUGAUAACAGUAUCUGCUAGCACAGAAAGGAGCGUAAUGCUAUGAACAAGAUGAAUUGUGAUCUAUACCAUUCGUCUGCUGCUCUGUUCUUAACCAAUUUCUUCUGUGUGCUGAUAAGAACAAGGCCCUUAUUGAAUGUGCUGCAUUUAUGUUUUUCCCUUCAUUUAGUGUGUGCAUCAAAUCUAGAUGAACACUCAUUUUCUAGUAGAUAUCUAUAACAUGACAUAUUGAUUCAAUGAUUCAAACUUGGACAAUCAUUAUAUUCAAGUUUGUUUUAUAAUACAUGAAAUGUUGUUCCUGCAGUACUUCUCUGGCUGCUCACCGCAGCAAGCAUCAAAACUGGACGGCCGCAGAUUGCAAGAAGAGCAAUUGACCUAGCUGAGAGGAGGCUGUUGAAGGACGGCUGGCCUGAGUAUUAUGAUGGGAAGCUUGGAAAAUACGUUGGCAAGCAGGCAAGAAAAUUCCAGACUUGGUCCAUUGCAGGAUAUUUGGUUGCAAAGAUGCUGCUGGAGGACCCUUCGCAUCUUGGCAUGAUAGCCCUGGAGGAGGACAAGGCGAUGAAGCCUGUUUUGAGAAGGUCCGCCUCAUGGACAAACUAAGAUAUCGACGAAUACUUUUAGGGGAGCAAAGUCGGAUUGAAACACGAAUUCUUUCGGGUAGGACAUCUCUGCUCAUCCCUUCCUUUGACUUUCCUAACCGGAAAGGUUUAUUUUCCACUGGAUUCCUUGGUUGUACAAUAUCCCAGCUCAUUCCUUGAGUCAAAAAAGAAGCAAUUGUGGAAGUGAGCGUUUUGUUUUCUCGUGUUUUCUUUCACUCCAUUGUAAGAAGAUACUCUGAUUCUUGCUUGGGUCACCCUGAAGUUAUGGAUCCUUUUGGUUGGACUCAAACUUUGUUGUAUGAGUUGACUAUAUAGAUGAGUAGGCUGAUUCCAGCUCUCUGUGAUGAACAGAAGUGCCACUCUAACGAAUAAAGAUCUCCCCAUUUUCUGCAGUGCUACAUGCCUGCGAAUCAAUUGCCUUCAGUGUGCUGCCUAUGAUCUCUCAAGGCGGGUCAAAGUGUGCGUGCUGUGCUACUUUCUUGUAACUUUCAAGUUGUACUUGUGUUCAAGAAAAAAUGCUCAAAAGAUUCCUUAUUUUCUAAUAAAUUAUCGUCUUAUUUUUUUUACCAGAAAUAAAAAUUGUUUCUCGGCUUUGUAUGAAGUUUGGUCAAAGUACAUGUUGCCUUUUCAUGCUUAUAUCUAUGUGAGUUGUGAGAUAGACUCAAAUGAAAAGGAAAUAAAAAAAUCAGGAUUUAUUUUAUGUCAAGCAACAUGUAAAGUUAUGUUCUCGUGACAACGGUAAGUGGUGAUGCUUAUUUCAUUAUUAUUUUUAAAUCACAGUUUUCUUUUUAUCAAUCAAGGUAACCAUAGCAAAAAGAAAACUAAAUUUUGGUUUGGUUUUGGUUUUAGUUCGGUUUUUGCACAUCAUGAUAAGGGUAUCUUCAACAGAGUACGAAUAUAUAGGUCCAUGUCAUCACUUCUCUCUACAUCCUCAUGUCAUCUCUUCUUUAUUAUAUAGGGGGUGUUUUCUUUUAUACUUUUUUCUUAACUAUCUGGCCUAUUGUUAUCUUCUUUUUUAGUUUUGGUAUCCGUGUCCUAGUGGUAUCUUGGAGAGAAAACAUCUUUUAUUUUUCCAUCAACCUUUCUCUUCCACAUCAGAUUAGAGUAAGAGAGAGAAGUUAUAGUACAUUCUGACCAUGCCUUGUUGGAGAUGUCCUAAUAUAUCCCAUGUCACUAUGUCAGCGCUAAAACCACUCGGGACAAUGGUUUAUCUGAGAGCGCAAAUGAAAUCAAAUUUAACUAUAUGACCAUUUGUCCAAUGGUGUACAUUGGAGGAUGAAAUAUGAGGGACUCUUCUUUCUCCCUUCGCGCUCUUUCUCCUCUGCACCUCCUAGCCUCCGUCCUCAAAAUUUCCCUCGCCGUCCUCUCUUCUCCGUCGGCGUUGUUGGUUGGAAAAAGAGGAGGAGAGGGCUCCGACUCUUAGAUCCUCGCAGUAUUAUGUCCGUAGCUGCCUUAGAGGCUCUCGGUAUGUUGUCUGCUAUCCGUGCGGUCGCUAGUUUGGAGCACCAGUGGCAGCGGCGGUUGGUUCAAUAGUGACAAGGUUUUUCCCGGUGGAGAUGCUAGAGAAGGCCUCCUUAUGCCGCACUUCCAGAAGGAUGGCUGUCCCAAUAAGCUCCCUUCCCACUGUUUUUUCUUUGAUUAUCUUUUCUACUUUUAAAUCUCAAUCUCGUCGGUCUUAUGUAUAACCUUAUUUACUGACCCUCUUCAAUGCUCUGAUUUGGAUGCUUGGCAAUUAGAACCAAUCGGUAGAAAGGGAUUGAAUGGUUUCUCCAUAUUCUCACGACACCCUUCUCUUGUUGUUGGUGUCGUUUGGCCUUUGCUUACAUCCUCUUCAACCUCCGCCUUCGGAGGCCCCAAUUUGGGAAUUUGGAUGAGACAGUUUGGCAGCCGAUCCACUACGGUGCUUUUCCUGCCCUCCGGUAUCAUUUCCCUACUGAAGGGGUUCUUUCGCUUCUCGGGCAUUGGGAUCUUCUCAUGGUUUGGCUUUGGUGUUUUCUUAUUUCUCCAUCACAGAGGCAGCUAGUCUGCCAGAGCCUUCGCUUUGCUGAUGACGACCAGUGUUGCAACUUGUCGACAAUCGUCCAGCAAUGCCGGCGAUAAAGUACCGUGGCAGACACGUGGACGGUCCAAUAGGCCAUUGUGGCAAGCAGCUCGAGAAAAGUAUAAGGACAUGGGGUGGUUGCCUAUGUUUUUCUGGACUUCAAAUUAUGUUGAGUUGUUCGGUGGGAUUUUUACCUACUCUUUUUCUUUGAUAUGAAGCCGGACCUUUAUUUAUUUAUUUCUGAAAUAAAUCUAGAGCACGAACGGUUAAAGUAAAUCACAGGCCCAGAGCCCAGGCCUGCAGCCAUAGCAAUACCAGCCCAGUCGAUCGACCAGCCUCUAAUCUCUAUCCGUCGUCCAAGUCCUCGCUUAAAAAAAAGAAGAAAAAAAAUCCGUCCAAGUCCAGUUUUCCCGAAAGAAAAUUCCGCUGCCGUCCCCUCCUCCUCCGCCUCCGCUCGAGAUCUCGAUCCCGCCAUGUCUGCCGCUUCCUCCCCGGACCCUCCUCGGUCUCCGGCGACCUCCGCCGCCGCCGCCGCUUUGCCCGACCUCUCCAUCCCCCACGACCUAGCCACGCGCGGACAGUGGCAAGCGCUGCUCGCGCACCUCGCCCACCCCUCCCGCACCCACCACCCGCACCACCGCCUCCUCCUAUCCGCGCUCUCGGCGCUCUCCCUCGCCAAGCUCCGCCGCUUCCCCGACGCCGCCGCGCUCCUCGCAUCACUCCAUCCUGACCCCGCCUGCCCGCCGCCGCCCUUCCUCCUCCGCCUCCUUCACGCUCUCCUCCCGCUUUUCUUCCCCGACCGCCCCCUCGCGCUCGACCGCCUCUACACCCUCCUCUCCUCCGUCCGCGCCCGCCCCGACGCCCAGCAUCCCGAGUGGCGCCGUCGUGACGCCCUCGUCACGUCCCUCCUCGCCUCCGAUCACCUCGCCCACCGCGAGUUCGAUGUUGCCCUCGCCCUCAUCGCCGACCUCGCCGCCCGCGAGCCAGACAACCCGGUCCUGCUCUCCCGCCUCGCCUAUGCCCACCUUCAGAUCGGCAACCUCGCCGCCGCUUCUGCCGUCUUCCGACACGUGGAAUCCGUCGCGGCCAACGACCCCUCGCACGCCAACCUCCUCGCUCGCAACCGCGCCCUCGAGUGCAUCGUGGCCAAGGACUAUGCGGCGGCAGUGCGGGAGUACGAGCGCUGCCUGGAGGUGGACCCUGCGGAUGCCAUCGCCUUGAACAACAAGGCGCUGUGCCUCAUGUACUCGCGGGACCUCGGUGACGCCAUCAAGGUGCUUGAGGGCGCGCUGGAGAGGGUGCCCACGGCGGCGCUCAAUGAGACGGUGGUGGUCAACCUGUGUAGCAUGUACGAGCUUGCCUUUGUCAACCACAGCGAGGUCAAGCGAACCCUGGCCGACUGGAUCACAAGGGUGGCGCCUGACGACUUUGAUAAGUCCUGCACACGAAUGUAGGAGGUACUACUGGUUACUACAAUUCAUCAUUGAAUUAUUUCACCAUACUGGUAGGAUGUGCUCUAUGGCAGAGAGACGGUAUUCUAUAGUUGUCACAUUGUAAUUCGAUUGUUCAUGUUUCUGUGGCAUUUAAAGAUUUUCUUAGUGAAAAUUGUGUGGUUGUACCGUUUUAUGACUUGCUCCACUUGAAUGUACAAUGUGGGUAACAAAUGUGGAGUGAUCGUUCGUGUUUGGAAUACACAUGCAUACUUUAUAAUGCUUUAAUAUGUGCUAGAGGAUUUAAGCUUGAAAUACAAUAAUCCUAUGUUUUCGUGUUUGAUGAUGAGUUUGUUCCUAUUGUUAUGCAUAUUGGAAGCAAUUCGACAUUGUAAUGUUAGGUUCUACCUCUGCAUCGUGAUAAAAUUAUGUCAUUGUGAUCAUUGCAAAAUUGAAGAAAAUCUUAAUUAAAUCCUGUAAGGUGGCACAUAUGCAAUAAUAUAUUUUGUCGUCAAAAGAAUAUCGCCGGUUGGUGAAAUAUAGAAUAUUUUCCAGUAGUCUAACAAUUCACCCUACCACCCUCACACCGGGUGGUCUGACUUUUAGCUAUUAUCAACACGUUGGUAUGCUUUUCAAUUUGCAGUUUGAUCCAGUAUGGUCAUACACAUACUAUAAUGACAACUAUGGCUGAUUUUCCUAUGAGAAAAUGACCUAUUUGUACUUGAACUGUGUAAGUAUUAUCAAUAAAACUUCAGCUUUGCAGCACGCCCCCUUUGAAGAAAAGAAGCACAUAAACACUAUAACACAUAAAUUGGAAUAGUUAAGCACUAAAAAGAGUAAGUAAACUCUUAUGGUUGCACUAGCAUCUUUCAAAAGGUGGUGAGCACCUCAAAUCUUCCGUUCCCAAAUGAUCAUUUGAACUUAAUCGCUGAUACCCACAGUGAUGCCACUAAGUUCCAUACUUCAUGGAUGCCAAAAUAAAUCGGUAUGAGGUGUCAACGGCAUUGUUGAGCUCGGUGUUGUAACUGUCAGUCCAACUACUCUCAAUGUGAAACUUGUUCCGAGACAUAGUGCCAUGAAGGUGAUGUCACCAGCUGACUAUCUUGGUGUUAAGAUCCUUGCAAGUUGUCCUCAAACUGACAUUCUUUUCACUUCACGCAAGGGGACUCAUGCUUACAGUUCUGUCCAGAUAUUGGUUGGCACCUUGAAGAAGGCCUGUAAGCUUGGAAAUUCUGCACCAUCUAUGCAAGUGAUCAGAACGUCUCUUGCUUCUAUGGUCCCUUCCUCUAGCUAAUCAGAUUCAAACACGUUCCAGAUCAAAGUACAUCUUCCGAAGUGCAUGUAUCCUUUGGUUGCAAAUACUUUUCUGCAGGCCUGUUUAAUGGGGUACAAAGAUGUGGAUUCAGAAGGGUAGUGAUGUGAUAGAUGAUCUUGUCUAGCGGUUGGCCUAAUGUCACAAUCUUCUGAACCUGGAAACCACAAAGCGGGAUGACAAGGCUGGUGGACUGGUGCAUGGGAGGGGAGUGGAGAUUCAGACACUUGAUGUUACUUGAGCAUCUGGUAUGUACCAGUUGCACUUGAUCUGUUCUAAUUUUGCACUUCCUUAAUUUUCCUAUUCUACUGUACUUCACGUUUUUAAUAGAACCAGUUAUGUCCAUUUUCUGUUUUUUGUCCUUUUGUUUCCUGAGAGAUCGACUUUAUUUCCUUUCAAUGAUACAUUAGAAACAGAAGGUGAUAGCACGGUGGUUAAUUGAUUUCAACUGGUCCACACAUUACUAUUUUCCCAGUGAAAAAACCAAAGGGACAACAUCACAAUGAAGAUCUGAAAAGUGUGCAGCGAUGGGAGGUUCUUGCCGAAGAUGACAGUGAUGCUUCAUUUCUCGAGGGCAUCGCAGAUGCGGGCAUCAUCAUCAGGAACAUGCCGCUAGUGCAGAGGAAGCAGAAGUGCCUGUGUGUAUGGAUGGAAGGUAUGUGGUUGCGCUCAAGGAAAGGAAGGGAGUGUGGUUGCGCUCAAGGAAAGGAGGCUGGAAGUGCCAGAUCUUUGCUUCGGUAUAUCUUCUCUGAGCUGAAGGGAUUGUUCAGGCUUGGUCCAAACGUGCGAACGAUUAGAAGACUUAAACAAAGUAACCCAUGAAUUAGCUCAGUUAGCUAGGAAGAAUAAUUCUGCUGUUUGGCAGCCUGUCUCCCCUCCUGCAGCAUAAAUGUGCUUCUGCAUAUUGAUUGUAAUCAUCUUAUUUCUCGAUCAAUAAAGCUCACGUGAUAUUUCGAAGAGCGACUCAUCCUCGAGACUUGGUAGUUGUCGAAGGGUAAACAACAAAUUUGUAAUUAUAAGAUAUAUAGCGUACUGCUGUUGGUUUACAUGUGAUGUGACUAAUGAUGGAUGCAAAAAUACUUCUAAAUUAGGCCAGGCUAGUCCAGUGACGCUGCCUUCUUGUUCUGCCGUUUGUGCUUAAUUGUUUUCCCCUAACCUGGUCAGUUCUGGAGUGCAAAUCAAAUAACUUUACAUGAAUGACAUAUAUAAACAGGGGAUAGUAACUGGCAGGACAGACAAGGGGAGAGGUCAAAGCUGAGCCUCCCCAAGGCAGGCGGCAUGUCAAAUGAAGAUCAGGAAACAAUCCUCAUCCCCAGGUUCCCCUCUCUACAGCAGCCUUCUCUUCUCCUGCUGCAGGAAUUCCUCGAGUUUAGUCUUGCAGAUGAUAACCACCAGACUGUCAUUCUUGAUGGGCUCGUGCUGGCCAACGAUCUUCCUCGCCUUGCCCGGAAAAAUACAUCAGCACAACAAGAACAGCAACCAGGAACAGGAGGAUGUACAUGGCAUUAACCCCGAGAAUUGUUGGGGAACGGCCGCCCAAUUUCUUCUUUGUUGUUCUGCCUGCUCUAUAUCCUUCAAGAAAACGGCUAAUUUGGGAUCCAUGGUCACCAUCUUCCAGGUUCUCUGAACCCUGAACCUGCAACAACAAGCAUUUCAAUUUUCAAUCAAUAACAUGGCACAGCUAAACAGUAAACAAGAUGGCAAUGCCAAAAGUCAAGUUUAUUAAAGUUGGGGUGUAACCAAACAAAUACGAAGGGAUCACUUUGAUAAAGAAAAUGUCAUGGCAAGCAGAUGUGCAAUUUCAUAUCUAUAUAGUACAAUGUAACAUGCAUGUAAGAAAAUAUACAGACUUCUUGUUGCAGAAGAAAGACACUCCUUUGAAAUUUGCUGCUGAUAUCAUUAUGAAACUAACAGGGAUAAAACAGUUCUCUACUUACCACUUCAUACUCCUCAUUUCUGUCCCAGACUACCAUCCUUGGCAACCGCGAGCUCUCUGAAUCAUGAAAAGGCUCGGUGAAUUCCUCCCACUGCUUGACUCCCACGUAUCCAAACACGAGAUCAUGGUUUGCGUUGGCUGCAGACCUCAAUACCUUUAUCAACUGCAUGGAAUUUUCAUCAGACUCAUCCUCCAAAACUGUAAGAACAACUUUCCUCUCAUCGUCUUUCAACAUCUUAACAGUCUCAGCAUUGAUGGGCACAGUUAAAGGCAGUAGGGAUUGCCGUAUAAAAUCUUCCAAAAAGGUCCCUGCAUCCACAACAAUUAUUGCUAUGUACCAUCAGUCUGGAGAAGACAUGCAUUACAAAACAGAGUAUGAACAUUUGGGUAAACUAGGUGAAUUGCAUGAAUUAACAAGAAAUAUAAAGAAUAGUUAUCCAAGCAUACCUUCGAAUGGGCCAUAGAAAACACUUUGCUCGUUAUACUUCGGGUUGAGAGAAACCAAUGCUGGAAUCUUGUCAAAAUCAUACACAACCAUCAUAUCCUCGGAGAAAUCCUUGGCUGCAGCAAACCAUGCCUUCCUUUUGUACCUCGUUCCAUACUCAACAAUAGAUGAUUCAUCCACCCCAAAUCCAAUAAAUAAUGGAAAACCCACACCAGCAUCCUGAACAAAGCUUUUGAUUGCUGAAUCGGACCCGAGAACAGAAAAAUCAGGUGCAACGAGCUUCUUAAGGCUCUGGAUGAGUAGAUCGGCCUUCCUGGAACCAGUAUACUCCGUGGGGACUCCAUGGUCAAAAAGCAUCAGAGUAGGGAAGCCACUGCAUUCAUGAAAAACAGAAAUCGAUACACUCUAAAUUUGAAUUUGAACCAACAAGUAGAGGUAAUCGAUCAGAUCAGGUCGCUUACUCUACUCCAUAUUUGGACCCAAGUUUCUUAUACUUCUCAGCAUCUACUUUUGCAACUACAACGGGCGUGCUCAGCCCAGCAAGCACUGGAGCAGCUUCAUCCAACUGCACAAAGGCAACAGGAAGGAGAGCUUAUCAGUUCACAUCGAGGCAGACCGCAUGGAUGCAGGAAUACUGGAAACGAAGUGAUAGUGCCAUGCUCUGUCUUGUGAUGGUCAUAUUUACAAGCAAGAAGGAGCUGAGUGGAAUAGUAAGUAGAUCUGAGACGCGCCGGUGCCAAUUUCGUUUUGUCUCUACAACUCAAUUCAAACCUUGUAUCUGAACAAUCACCAGUACUACCGAGCAUCAUUGAAGGAUCUCACUUUCCCUGUCGGCGCUAAGCUGCCUUAGCCGAAUCGCAUUUUCCCUUGCACUCUUGAGUCUGGAGUCUCUUCUACCAAACGUUGGUGGGAGCGGAUCGCGCGGGACGGAAUGGAGGCGCGGGCGGGUAGGGUACCUGUGGGGAGAGGCGCUUGCAGUGACCGCACCAGGGGGCGUGGAAGUCCACGAAGAGGAAGUCGACGGCGGCCGCCGCCGCCUCGAAGUUGCUGUCAUCCAGCUCCACCACGCUCCCGUCCUGGGGGAUCUGGAACCCCGCCGGUUCCCCUCCGCCGCUCGACACGCAGGUCGUGGGCAGCAGCACGAGCACGAGCACGAGAGCGAGGAGAGGAAGCAGCCGCCGCAGCGACAGUGGCUUUCCCGCCGCCAUGCGUUCGAGUCGAUCUCGCCGGCUACUCCGGUUAGGAGCGGCGGAGUACUAGUAGAAUAGCCGUUUACCACCUUCAGAAUUACGCCUUCUUUACGCAAAAAAGAAAAGCGAACUGCGUGUCUGCGUAAGGAGGCAGUGCUCAAGAUGGCAAUGAGCCCGAACCCGUAUCCUCGCGGGUUUUUAGCCCCAUUAGACCUAGUUCAGUUAUGCCAAUUUCAAUCCAAUUUUUCCAUCCAAUUUUUCCUUAAUCUCUGUCAAUUACUGCAGGGAUUGUUGUAACCGAAAUAGCCCUUAGACCAUGUUCGUUUGUGAUAAACCCCACCUGAAUAGAUAAGGAUUGGGGGGAAUUUGACCUAAAAUCUCAUCGAUCCUUUCCAAUCCCCAUCGGGAUAGGUGUAACCGACUGGGCCAAUAGGGAACGGGAUUGAGUCAAAUUUAAACUCUGCGGGUUGUUCCUGGGUCAAAAUUGAAACCCAGCGGGUUUCACGGUUCAAAUCCAGUCCAGCACUCUUCGAACGUGAUACCCGAUGGGUUUCAUGAAAAAAUGAUAUAACUCAUAUACGUGUCCUAAUUCAGCCCAUCCUACAGAAAAACCUUAGAUAUACAACAUAGUUCUAACCUUAAAUUACAGCCCCAAUUCCUAGCCCCAUUCUAUCAACAUCCCGAGCCGCCCACUCUCUCCGCGCCUACUCGCUCUCGCUCAGUCGCUCUCUCCAUGGCGCGUCCCACCCACUCCUCAGCGCUGCAUCGUCAUUAUAUUGUUUGACUAUCAUUGUGCUGUCAAAACAUGAUACUUCUGCGUCGCUAUGCUGUUGUUUCUUCCUGAGUGUUUUGUGUAUUCUCAUAGGUCCGGGUUUCCCGACCGGACCGAAAAACCUGAUGGGGACGGGGACGGGAAAAAAAUGAAACCUGUUAGCGGGGAUGGGUUUGGGGACAGGUUGCGAUCAAAGUCACGGGGACGAGUUUGGGCGGGCACUACCCGACGGGUUUCGUACCUGUUGCCAUCCGGAGGCAGUGCACAAGGUGUCGUUGAGAAGGCGUAAAUUUGGUUCGGCCCAGAAGCGUAAGGGCCAGAAGAAGUCGUAAUUCUGAAGGUGGUAAAUGGCUAUUCUACUCGAUUCAACGCAAGCAAAGGUCCCGCAGAAAGUCACCAUCCUUUGUGCUCGUUCAGUUCCACAAAACAAUGGCUAAUUUGUUUCAUAAUACAGCUCAUUUUUCUUUUGACUCCCGUACCUGGCCAAUCACAGCUCUCAUCCAUUUAGUAUUUGAUCAGUACCCAUUUUACGACUGUUUUAAUGAGCUUUCGGUGCUGAUCAUGUUAAGUGUGGGCUUCUAAACUUGCAAUAAGGUGCUAAUUAAAAGUGCUUUCUUUUGUCAUUUUACGGCUUGGGCUUCUACUUUUGCAGAUUUGGUGCAAAAAGGCACCUAAACCUCCUACCUACUACAUCCUGAACAAGAGGAGAGCAUAAAGCAGCAGGAAGGAGCUAGAAUGGGUGAUCAAGCAAAAAGGUGGCUUAAAGUAGGGAUCUUCUUGAGAACAAAGGAAGCAAAAGCAGGGCUAGAAUCUAAAAGGUGAUGUUGACAGCUCCAUGUGAGGAAGGAGGAGAGCAUAAAAGGUGCACCCUCCUACAUGAGACACACACAGCCAGAGGGGUAGGAAAGUUGAGAUCCAGAAAAAGAGAAGAGAGAAAGAAAACGGGGAAGGAAGCCAGAUCUGAAGCUUUUCGUGGAUGAUCGGGCUUCAUCAACCCCAAAUUCGAAGAGCAUCAACUGCUAGAUCAUCUUCUUCCUUGUCUAAUCUUCAUCUUUGCAGCAAGAAACUUUGUAAAAGCUAGUUCUAAUCUUCCCUCUCUCUUGUUCAUCUUGCUGAUCUUGUAAACUGCUGAAUCCUUGCCUUGUAAACCCUGUUAAACUGCUAGAAACUCAAAGAUUAUUGUGUUGUUGCCCUGUGAUGUUUGUUCUAUAUUUUUCUGUCCAGUGAUUGUUCAUGUGUGUUGUUACUUUUCUGUCGUGUCAAUUGCUCUUGAUGUGAAGUAUAAACUUGAACUGCGUGCUGUGUUCUUCCUGAUCCCGAAUUCUUUCCCUAUCUGCAACUUGCUGUCUUUCUCCUAAAUCUGCUAGUAGGUAUUUGUUUCUUCAGUUAAAGUUCAGUUAGUUCAGAUAGGUUUUGUCAAGUUUUGCUACAGUUAAAGAAAACUCCAAAAAGAUUUGUUCAAUUAUGUUGCUGUUUUAAAUUUCAGUAAAAAGAACCUCAAAUAUUUGUGAGUGUAGCUUGAGAAUUGGAAAGCAAAUUAAAAUUAACUCAAUCCUUAAGAAGAACUUCAAUUUUACUGCUAAAUCAACAAUUGAUCAGUAUUGAUCCAAUAUGAGUGGUCGGACAUUAGAAACGAUAGUUGCCUUGAUUCAAGUGCACAAAUCUCUAUAAAGUGUUCUGUGGAACGAAGGAAUAAAUAUAAAAAGUUCUGCUUUUGUCAUAAGUCAAAUUUAUUAAAUUUUUAUGAAAUUUAUAAAAAAAAUAACAUAUCGAAUAAUUAUACUAUGAAAAUGUAUAUCAUGACGGAUUUAAUGAAACCAAUUUAGAGUUGUAGAUUUUGAUAGAAUUUUCUAUAAAACUUGGUAAAAAUUUCAGAAACUUAACUCAAGACAAAAGUACAACAUCUUAUAUUUAUAAACAGAGGGAGCACUAUAAAUGAUGCGGCAAAAAGAAGAGUAGAAUAAUUAAGUAAACUUUGAGAUUCCAAAUGCACAAGUACUUUGAGAGAAAAGCUUACAAAGGCAACAUGCAUGUACAAGUAAAAUGAACCGGAGAAAGUAUCCCUACUACAUGAUGUCUUUGUUCGUAGUAAUAUUUUCUAUUUAUUGGUUUGAAAGCAUCAUUGAAAGUAAAACAAAAUGAUAGCGAUUCAUAUGAGAACAAACUAGUAGCAGCUCCAUCUUUUAUGCAUCAAAUGGUCGGGACGUACGCGAUGGAUCAGCUGCUGCAAAUCAUAAGCUGGUCCCUCUUCUUCCUGGAGACAGCACGCCAUGGCUUCCGUACCUCACAGUUAUAUGCGUAGCUGUAGUGGGGUGGUAUGUGAGAUGUGCAUGCAAGAACAUUGAACUUCCCUUGAGGCCUAGCACCUCCAUAGAGGACAUCUUGCACCGAAACCGCGGGAGCUUCAGCUCCGCUAUGAACGGAGGCUGUCUCGUAGUUACCAAGAAUCACAAAGCUAUACCCGCCGGGCGGAGAUGUGGGUUUGCUUCUUGGUGUCGGGACAUGCACCGGUUUGUCUGCCUCCCAAGGAUCAACCGGAUGCACGGUACUAAAGAGGAACAAGUUCUUCUGCCUGAACUCUUUGAAUGUUGUCAGAGUUAAACUCCAAAAACGAGGGUUCAUGCUUGAUUUGAGUAUCCCACGGAAGAUGUUUGCAGCUACGAAGCAGCCGUUCAACUCCCUUGCUAUCUCCAUGGCUGUUGAUACAAGCUUUGGGUGCUCUGUCAAGUCCGCGCUCCCAAAUAUGCGCGCCUUGAAGAAGUACCAGUAGGUCUCCGGAGUAAAGAAGCUUAACCUGAGCGGCAGAGUCGUCCCCAGACUCUCGAUCUUGUCAGAUCGACUUGUGACGAGCAUCUUACUGCCAUGUCCAACGCGAAGUCUUUCUGAAGCUGAGCGCAGUUUUUUCCAUGAACCCUCAUCGACAUCCCCAUCUAGUUCAACGAUGAUCAGCACCCUUUGAUGAUCAGCUCCAUCUGGGACGAGAGCUGCGCUGCUCUCUACAGCUGUAAGAUAAUCACGGGAACUCAUGAAGAAGACGAUUCGCGAGAAGUGGCCGCCGCGGACCCUCUCGUCGGCGCAGGCGUGGUGGACGAGGGUGCUCUUCCCGACCUUUCCCGGGCCAACGAUCGGGAGGACGCCGAGCCGUUGCUCAUCUGCUUCUGCUUGCAGCAGAAAGUUGACAACGUGUUCCAUCUCCAUCUGGCGGCCGAACAUGCACCUGUCCAUGAGCAGGUACAUGCUGUACGGCUGCCGAAACAGGCGAGGGUAUCCACCGGAAAGCGUGGCCAACUCUGGCCCCGCAACUUGGACGGCGGCUUCGAGGCUGGCUAGAACACCCUGCUGCUCGUUCGGGCUUCCCACGCGGAGACGCUUGGCUGGGCAGACAUUAGAGAGAGCGAAAGAGUGGCCUCUGUGCAGCUGAUCCGGGGCUGGGCAUCUGAAUGUGUCCAGCGUGUAGUAGCCUCUGUGCAUCGCCAUUCUCAGAGUGUGGAGUUGCAGCAGCAUGGCUUGGUUCGUGAUGUGCCGUCCCUCUGCCUCCUCCACCAUGGAGCCGACCCGCAGGAGCAGCCGUCGCAGCCUCUCUUCCUCAGUCGGCGAUCUCCAUUUGGACACGAGGAAAGAUAUGGAUCGAUUGACUGCUUCACCCAUAAUAGCGCCAACGAUUGCAUCCUUUAUUUUGGGGAACACAUCCAUUCUCCCUCUCCUUGGAAUGGGUCGAUCGACAAUUAAUCUGAAAGCAGAGAGGAAUUCUAUUGCAAGGUGUUCGUCUUAUGUUUUCUGACGAACAAAAUAUUUGAAGCAAACAGCUGUGGACUGUGGUUAUCUAUAGAUGCAUUUUUCUUCGUGGGAAGUACGGGGAAACUUCUGUUCUUUCAUUGAUAGGGGCUGGGAACUAUUGUAUUACCGACAAGGCAGGUAAAGUAACGAUUGUUCAGACUUCAGACACACAAGCAAAAUGAAGAUUGAUGUCUUUCUUAAGAAAAUUUUGCCCUCUCACCAGGUGUCACAACUCAAGUUAAAACAAAGAUGCACUGACGGCAUAGUUAUUCUGUCAUUGACAACGGCAAAAUCAAGAGGGGGUCAACCGGAGAGCGGGGAGAGUUCUGCUCUUUCUUGGGCUUGGGGCUAACUAAAGAUGCGAUUUUUCUUAAUAGAAAGUACGGAGAGAGUUCUUCUCUUUCAUUGUUAGGGGUCAGGAAGUGUUACUACUGACAAGACAUACGUAAAGUAAACAAUUGGUAAGACACACAAGAAAAAUAAAGAUUGAUAUUUUUCUUAAAAAGUUUUCCCUUCUCACCAGGUGUCUAAAAGUGAUGUGUUGUGAAAGGUGGAGGGGGGAUCGGAAAUUCAAGAACCAUAUUUAUAAGGUUAAAUUCCAUUCUCUCUAUAAAGAGUAUACUAUCUGCUACUAUAGGUAGAUGCAUCUUCUUUUCUCGGUCACAAAUGAAAAUAUUUAGCCAUGAAACUUUACAGUUAUAUUACAUAAUUUCAUUCAAAAGAUGAUUUGUGAUCUGUGCAAAAAAAAGAGAAGAAAUAAAAGAGCCAAUGCAAAUGCGAGUAGGAAUAAUAAAUGGGAGAAAAGACAAUAAUGAAACAUCUAACAGAUUGGUUUGCUCUUUCUCCUCCCAUGCCAAAGGCAAGUGUUACUAUAUUAUUUGACUGAAAAUAAAAUAAAAAGUAAUCUAUAAUAUCUAUAAAGUUGAUCCCCUAUAAUGAUAUCCAUAAAGUUAAUCUUCACUAAAACUGAUUUAAUGUUUACAAACUCAACAUGCAAAACAUCCACAUCAUCACUAUUGAUCUCUACUAAAAUUUCUUUGAACUUUGCAAGCUCAAUAUGCAAACUGUCCACAUCAUCACCAUUGAUGCUCGCUGAGUUUCAUUUAAUGUUUGUAAACUCAAUAUACAGAAUAUCCAUGUCAACAUCAACUCAGUCAGCUCUUAGCAUUUGCAUAGCCCAAGGAAAACUCUGUAUCAUUCUCAUGUGCCACAGAAAUAUAUAAUUUUCAUCUCAAGCCACUUUCAUCAUAACUCUUUACCUCCAGGACGACAUCCAUUUCACCAAACCAUGCUCUCUUUCCAUUCAUCAUUCUAGCAAAAGAAGCUCAUAAAAAAUAUAGUGAUGCAAUAAAAAGACCUUGGGAUACUAAACUACCACCGGUGUGGCUAACUCUCAAGAGUAUGUCUUCUCAUGCUCACAUCUCAAACCAGCUACCAUGUGAUCAUCCAUUUUUCAACACCUUACUUGAAAAUUGGGACACCACAUCUCCAAGUUAUUCUUAUGGAAGAAGCAACAUGUAUUUCAACCUAAAUACAAUUUAUUUUGCUUCAUUUCAAUCCAAUUUUCUUUCACGUAUGGAGAGAUGUGGUGCCCUUGGAGGCCCGCAGCAAUGCCCGGGAUUUCCACUAGUAUUCUUACAUUAAAUGCCACGAAAUAAAGGAUCAACCUUACAGAAAGAGAAAAAAACAGCAGUGACCAGAGUAAAAUUGAAGCUCCAGCUUGAGCUUCUCAAAUUGCGAGCGAAUAGAAAGAAGUGCCAUGGGCAAGUAUCUGAAGCUGUCUUUGGCGUUUAGCUUAUCCAGAGGCGGUCUUUUUCUGCUGGAAAACAACUGCAUACACAGGGACUGCAAUGCCAACGCCAACUGCAGCCACCACGGACAGAGACGCCUUAAGAGCCUGGUGCUUCAUCCGGUGAAGGUUGUACAUGUGCUUGGCGUGGAUGUAGUAAGGCUCAUCGUGGGCGUGCGCUCCCAUCCUUCGCAAGCCUGUGGCUGAGAUAUGUAGUUUACAAAUCAGGAAAGUGAAACAAAGAAGUGUUAAACUAGACAGGUUGCUAAUUUGGGUGUAAAAACAUAACAAAUGUGCAACCAACAUCUCCAUGCUUGCAAAAUGGUUUGCCGAAUUCUAAUAUUGCAACGUGAUGACAUCUAAGAAAGACAUGCAUUCAUUUAAAGAGUUCAUUAUGUACUCUGUGUAUUAGCAUAGUCCAUGGUGUACCUACAAAUUCUUGAACUUGAAGACUUUGCAGAGAAUUGAUACGAUUGAAGAAGAACCUUCCUCAAAUGUCUAAAUGAUGCAAUUAUGCAUUGUCAAUCUGACAAAGAAUGUAACAUAAGUACAGUACAGCUAGAACUACUACACACUUAAGUCAGUAUUAUGAACAUAUCUAUCUAUUUUUCCUCCUUAUCAUACUAUAACGAAAAUAUCCACAAACCCUUGCAGUACCGCACCUAGAGAUUGAAAAUUACAACAACUGUCCAUGUAGAAUGUCCCUACCAACGGUUGGCAUAAAAAAAUGCACAUACAGAAUAAAAAAAGGCCAACUACCAAGGCAAUGCAACAAAAACAUAAUCUUACACCUAUCAUCUUCAGGAUUUAGACUUUGUGCUAGAACGCAUUAAAGAAAACAUUUAACUCUGACAUUGCGUAGUAGCCUUCUGACAGAACUCGAUGCAAGGCAACCUGAUAACUCGACAUACCCAAAGAAAAGAAAAUUAUGUACAUAAAAACCGCACCAUUGCUGAAAUAAAACGAACACACAAAUCCCACCUGUUUAUAUAAUCCUUCUAGACAACAAUAACAUGGGCUUCUUGUUGUUCAGAAGUUCGGAUAAAAUGAGACUCUGAAAGAUUGAGAGACAGCUCUAACGGACAUCAAUUCCACGAUGAAGGUCCAGAAAUACUAUGCCAAUAACUAAAAUGUAACGAGCAUUUGCAAACAGCAUUGUCCAGAAAUACUAUGCCAAUAACUAAAAUGUAACGAGCAUUUGCAAACAGCAUUACUAAUAUAUUGGGUCCAAACCGAGACGACAGACAAUUCUCCGACAAUCUAUUCCGAAACAAAUGGAUCGGAUCUGCUACGUCUACGUAUGCACGCGUCCGGAGCGAUACAAUCGGUCACGAACAAAUGCGGAAACAAGGGAAUCGAACCACGCCACGGAAAAGAAACGCCAAUCAGAUCGUCGUGGGCGCGUAAGACUAGGAGGUAAGGUGGGCUUACCUGGCGCGGAGGCCGCCUUUGCGCCAGCGGAGAUGAGGCGGAGGCCCGAGAGGGCACCGCGGUUGAGCGCCAUCGUCGUCGUCUUCUUCUCUUACAGUGGUCGCCGCCGGGAUCGCGGUGCGCCGUAACGUCAGGUUUUUUUGUUUUUUUCGAGCGACGCCGUAACGUCAGGUGAGCGAAGAAUGGGAGAAACCAGGAGGGGCCGAAAGUGUUUCUCCAAUAUAGCCCAAUGUUGUGGGCCGCCCACGCGUGAUGGGCUGGGCCGUUCGGUGGCAAGUAUGGGUUUUCGGCGGAUCAGCCGGCUGCCGUAGUCCUGCUGCGUGCCGCGAUCCUUCCACUCCGGCACUCGUAAUUUUCGUGUUUUACGUGCAAAAAAGAUUUGCGCGUAUGAACCUUUGAACUCGGAAGUCUUUUUUUGUUUAGAUGUUUGAACUGAGAAGUCUUCAUACAGGAGUAUUACUUUUCCUUAGGAAGCAAAACAAAAGAAGCAAAAAUGUAAGUGACCAUCCUACAGUGAGCACAGAUGCAGAAUCGGGCGGCUGACAGAUAUUGUGAUAGUUUCUCCUCUCCCCGGUUCUGGUUGAGGGCAUACACAACGUGUCAUGUGUUUAAACCGACUCUAAAUGAUUACUCUAUCAUUAUUUGGCCUUAAAUGUGAGUAUAAUGGUAAAAAAGUUUAACUCUUAGGCCAUUUGCGAAAGGUUGACUCUUAAUUUGAAUUUGUGAGGAAAGAGAAGAGAACCGAUCAUGUGAAAAGUCAGACUCUUAGCCAAGAGUUAGCUACGAGUCAAGUUGUUUCACCAUUGACACCAUUAAUGUUAACAAAUCAUCCAGAAUCAAGUUGACUUUGGACAAAACUAUUUGAUGUUAAAUCCAAUGAUAUAUACUUUCUACAUCUCAUAUUAAGUGUCGAAUGUUUAAAUAUGGAUGCAUACCUAAAAAGCGUCUAGAUACUUGUAAUAUUUUGACAAUUAAUAUAUGACGGAGGGAGUAUAUAUAUUCAUAGUAUACAUAUUUGAUAUUGUAGAUAUUAGUAUAUUUUUCUGUAAAUUUAGUAGGACAAACAUACACCAUUUUGGAUUUAGAACAGUGGUAGUAUUAGAAAGGCACAUAACAAAUACGAUAAAUUUAUUCUUACCUACCCAAUCCAUAUAUUUUUGCAUGUGAGGUCAAUGCUUUAAGAUAGCUAAAAUGUUAACUUACAUUUAUAUUUAUGUAUGCACGGGGGAUGGAGUACGCGGGCUUCAAUUUUCAAGUACAAAAUACAGUCCCCUAACUCUAAAGCGCGAUGACAAUGGAGUAUAAACAACAAACGUACACGAGGAACAGUACUCCAACACUGCUCUGAUCAAGCCAGUAGCGUGCGGUUCACAAAUAAUUUAUUUUCCCAACAGCUAGCUGGAUGGAGCGUUCCUUGCUCAGAACUGUUCUGACUAGUAACCGACAAAUUUCUUCCUGGAAAGUGCUUUGGUCCUUCCCCAAAGUUGAAAAGAAAAUAAACGCGACUUCUAAAGCAAGCCUAGAGGCUUCGAGCUGAUAUCCAUUCAUGACGCGGCUUCGUCUCUUAGCAUAACACCACGUUUUAAUUAUAAUUGUCAACAAUAAUUAAUGAUCCUCGCACUCUCAUUUUACUUAUUAGUACAUUAUACUUCGACAAAAAUGCUUCUUUGUACCUCAACUUGUCGCAAAGUUCGUUUUAGGUCCCUUGCCAAAAUUUCGUAUUUUUUUCGUCGUUCAACUUUCAAAAUUGGACACAUUUCGUCCCUUCGCUGACUUGAAGUGGUACUUUUGUCCACGCGGCACGGUUUUCUCUGAAGUCUGAACCGCCAUCUGAAUGAUUUUAUGUCCCAAAACGACACGCUGACCUAGCAAGCGCUAUCUGGUGGUUCCCUUGCAGCCGGCCGCCGUCGACACUGGUGGCGGCACAUGGUGACAUCCAUGCUGGGUACAUCUCAUUGUCCUCGGCCUCGUCGAUGUGGUCCAUGUUUGUUCGUGGGGAUGAUGUGGGCGGCGUGGAUGACAUGUUCGCUAUCUCGUGACAGAUAGGGUAGGAAACGGAUGGGUCGAGAUCAUCUUUCUCGGAUGGCUACAACACACCACCACCAACACGACCAGCAGCAAUACUCGUCAUCAUAGAUAUACUUCUCGUGCCAGCAGCCCACGGGGGGCAUGCGAAUACAACAAUGGUGUUCAUCAAUGGCAUGGCGACGGAGGUGCACUGAGGUCCUGUGGACGUGCGGUCCAUGUUCAUCGAGGACCCCGUGUUGGUCCACGCCAGUGGCGGCCGGCUUCCUGCCCGUUGACGGUGGCGGGUUCGGGGAAACCCAUGCCAUAUGGAUGUGGACAGCAAUACCUCUAUGGAUCGGGGUUGGGACCGAAUGUGUCUGGUUUGAAAGUUGAAGGACAGUAAAAGUACAAAAUUUUGUUAAGGGAUUGAAAUCUGAAAUUUGCGACAAGUUGAGGGACUAAAAAAAUUAAUUUUCUCUUAUGCUUUUGUAUUGCUAAGUAACAGACCUAGCACCUCACAAAAAUGGAUUAAUGCAUGCACUGAUGCUUUCUGUUUCCUGCCUAUAUAUAUAAACACACGUUUUUUUUUUGUUCCUAAAAAAACACUCGUUUUUGAAGGAGAAGAUACAGUCAGACUGGCUGCAUGUUAAUAAUGAUUGAUUAACAGCCAGAAUGUUAAGUACUAGGAGAGGGAAUUGUUUCUCAUCAUGGUCGUGGAAGGUGCUCCAGAACCAGAUAUAGCUUUCAGAUCGCACACACUUUAUGUGGGCAGUAUGUCCACUAGUGCCCCGCGGUUCGCUGGCCGGACCACCGCUUUUUGUUUGCUUCACGGUGCUGCAUUUGCCCCCGGCGACGUUUGACGGCGACCAGUCUCGCACGAAUCAGGCGCGACGCAAGGCCCUGACCGGCCAAACAACUGUUAAGAGUAUGAAUUCCUUCCGUUGCCGUUUUUCAUGUCCAUGUUUUGUUCGCUUCAAAACAAUCAAGUAUACAUGUAUGUUUUGGCAAAUUGUUCUGCCAGCGGGAUUAGAGGUAAUCCUACAUGUAUUUUGACUGCAAACUAAGAGAGAGCUAGUCGCCAUUAGAAGCAAAAUAUCGGAUUUGAUGGGAGAACAAACUCCGGGUCGUUGUAGCAGCAAGAAUAUAUGUCCGUACGUAAAAACCAAAAAACUGCAAGACUAUUUUUGCUGCGAGACAAACGAGGUUAGGUCAGCGUGUACCACAUGGCUCGUACACAACGGACGAGAAAUAAAUUACUCGUAAUUAGGAUGCAUCACUGAAAGAGAGAGAAGAAUCACCUCCAAUUUCCACGAAUUGAGAUUUGCCUAGAACCGUUUUUUAAUCACUCUCGUUCGCUCUAUACUAUAAGACGAUGCCAAAUAGCCAAACACAACAAAUCACGGUUCCUUCGGUUGAAGGCAAAACUCGUAACCCCGCCCUGAAAUCAAUUGUUCGUGACCUUGCGUUUUGUCCGUUUGCGAGCUGAAAACGCUCCCGUACUCGACGCGACGGCGAAGAGAUGAAUUAAGUAAGCGCGACAAGUCCAGAAAACAAAACAAUUAACUAAUAAACACAUGUACUCAGAAUAUAGUAUGGUUAGGCAAUGCGCGCUAUACGCCUGACGAAAUUAUUAGCCGGAAGAAUCAAAGCCAUCAGCGUCGAUCUCCGUGAUGCAUUGCAACGAGAGCGAGUGCAAGCUAGGUUGCGUACGAUGAGAUGCACAUGACAUGCGGAUGCAGGAUAGACAUGUGGGGAUCGAUCGAUGGAAGAGAAAGCAUCUCUCGCUCUCUCUCUCUCUUUCGUUUUCCUUUUCUUGGGAGGCCUGCUCGCUGGAUCCGCUUUGCUUUGCUUUGCAUUCUGGGCAUUCCUGUCUCCCGAUGACCCGGAUGUAUGUUCGUUAAUUUGUGAUGUUGGGGAAUGAAGGUGCGAGCUAAAGGCAUGCGUGCAGUGCAUCCAUUCCGGCCAGUCGGCCACGGUGCUCCCGGGCCUGGUGGCUAAGCUGAAAACGGUGCUCCCUGGCGUAAGCCAACAAUCUUUUUUACCGUGCACGUGUACGCCUCGAUAUCGGUACUUGGUUUGUUUGCAAGUUACUGCCUCCUGCCACUCCACUUCACUCCAAUAGCCUCUGUACGGUCCAGGUGCCCUUCCAGUCAAUUUAAUUCAAUUUACGGUACCUUUUCCGUUUCAUAAAAAUUGACAAGUUUAAAACCAUAUCAAUUUUUAUGAAACUGAGGGAAUAGCUCUGAAACAGAAAUAAAUGUUGUACUCCAUUUUACUGCUGCUAACUAUAACUACUCCUGAUAACUCCGGGGGGCAUGCAAAGCUUAAGCCAGACGUGAUGCACGACGUAUUACCAGAUGGACCGAUAGUGCAGGUGCGCAAAUUGUCUUUCCACUUUCGUCACCGCCUCGCUUUCUUAAUUUCCCACUUUUAGGAAAAGUGAAUUUUUGCCUUGUUUUCAUACUGCACAACUUGGUAAGUCCAAGGCUGCUUUUCGCCCACUCGGUUUCAACUAGUACUACAACACAGUUUUGAACACCACUUUCUUCAGCACUAAACGAGAUUCUCCACUCUUAAUUUUUUUUAAAACAACAUUGAAAAAAAUCAUCUACGUUUUCAUUUUUGUACAAUGCAAGAAUAAAUGUACUACGUACUCCCUUCGUCGAACAAAAGAUAUUUCAAAUUUGUCAAAAUUUGGAUGUAUUUAGACAUGACUUAGUGUAUAGAUGCAUUCAAAUUUAGUCAAAGUUGAGACAUAUUUUGUUGGACGGAGAAAUACUGUAGUUAUUUUUGCGCAACUUUUUCCCUUCCGCUAUUAUAUUUCGGAUGAUAGUGUGCAUGUAACCGAUAAUACGAAAACAUCUAGCAGGGGAAUGGCGUUCGCAUGCCUAAUAGUUAUUCGGAAAUCGUAAAGGAUUAAGAGAUGGCCAUGCAUGCUGCUGAUAUGAAUAUGCGAGAAAGAAACAAUUAUUUUGCGGUGGUUACGGCCGGAGUUUUUCUUUCAAAAAACUAAACAAGUAGGAAACGAUUCCGAGAAAAGGGUAUGAAACAACAAAGAUCG
rnacentral:lncRNA from 1 species